UACGGGGGGUGCGAGCGUUGUCCGGAAUCACUGGGCGUAAAGGGCGCGUAGGUGGCGUCGUAAGUCUGUGGUGAAAGCCCGGAGCUCAACUCCGGGUCUGCCGCGGAUACUGCGAGGCUUGAGUGCUGUAGAGGGGGGUAGAAUGCCCGGUGGAGCGGUGAAAUGCGUUGAGAUCGGAAGGAACGCCCGUGGCGAAAGCGAGGUCCUGGACGUCAUCUGACGCUGAGACGCGAAAGCUAGGGGAGCGAACGGG
rnacentral:rRNA from 1 species